AACGAACGCUGGCGGCAUGCCUAACACAUGCAAGUCGAACGAGACCUUCGGGUCUAGUGGCGCACGGGUGCGUAACGCGUGGGAACCUGCCCUUAUUUUCGGCAUCACUCCCCGACAGGGGUGCUAAUACCAUAUACUGUCUUCGGACCAAAGAUUUAUCGCCAUGGGAUGGGCCCGCGUUGGAUUAGCUAGUUGGUAGGGUAAAAGCCUACCAAGGCGACGAUCAAUAGCUGGUCUGAGAGGAUGAUCAGCCACACUGGGACUGAGACACGGCCCAGACUCCUACGGGAAGCAGCAGUGGGGAAUAUUGGACAAUGGGCGAAAGCCUGAUCCAGCCAUGCCGCGUGAGUGAUGAAGGCCUUAGGGUUGUAAAGCUCUUUUACCCGGGAAGAUAAUGACAGUACCGGGAGAAUAAGCUCCGGCUAACUCCGUG
rnacentral:rRNA from 1 species